UACAGAGGUCUCGAGCGUUAGGCGGAAUCACUGGGCUUAAAGCGUGUGUAGGCGGAUCGUUAAGUGCCUUGUGAAAUCCCACGGCUUAACCGUGGAACUGCUUGGCAUACUGGCGGUCUUGAGCAACCUAGGGGCGAGCGGAACAAAUGGUGGAGCGGUGAAAUGCGUAGAUAUCGUUUGGAACGCCAAUGGUGAAAACAGGUUGCUGGGAGUGUGCUGACGCUGAGACACGAAAGCCAGGGGAGCAAACGGG
rnacentral:rRNA from 1 species